rnacentral:rRNA from 1 species
CCUACGGGCGGCAGCAGUGAGGAAUAUUGGUCAAUGGACGCAAGUCUGAACCAGCCAUGCCGCGUGCAGGAAGACGGCUCUAUGAGUUGUACACUGCUUUUGUACGAGGGUAAACGCAGAUACGCGUAUCUGUCUGAAAGUAUCGUACGAAUAAGGAUCGGCUAACUCCGUGCCAGCAGCCGCGGUAAUACGGAGGAUUCAAGCGUUAUCCGGAUUUAUUGGGUUUAAAGGGUGCGUAGGCGGUCGGAUAAGUUAGAGGUGAAAUCCCGAGGCUCAACUUCGGAAUUGCCUCUGAUACUGUUCGGCUAGAGAGUAGUUGCGGUAGGCGGAAUGUAUGGUGUAGCGGUGAAAUGCUUAGAGAUCAUACAGAACACCGAUUGCGAAGGCAGCUUACCAAGCUACUUCUGACGUUGAGGCACGAAAGCGUGGGGAGCAAACAGGAUUAGAAACCCCGGUAGUC